GUUUGGUUAAGUUAGAAAGGGCGCACGGUGGAUGCCUUGACACUAGGAGUCGAUGAAGGACGGGACUAACGCCGAUAUGCUUCGGGGAGCUGUAAGUAAGCUUUGAUCCGAAGAUUUCCGAAUGGGGAAACCCACCAUACGUAAUGGUAUGGUAUCCUUAUCUGAAUACAUAGGGUAAGGAAGACAGACCCAGGGAACUGAAACAUCUAAGUACCUGGAGGAAGAGAAAGCAAAUGCGAUUUCCUGAGUAGCGGCGAGCGAAACGGAACAUAGCCCAAACCAAGAGGCUUGCCUCUUGGGGUUGUAGGACAUUCUAUACGGAGUUACAAAGGAACGAGGUAGACGAAGCGACCUGGAAAGGUCCGUCGUAGAGGGUAACAACCCCGUAGUCGAAACUUCGUUCUCUCUUGAAUGUAUCCUGAGUACGGCGGAACACGUGAAAUUCCGUCGGAAUCUGGGAGGACCAUCUCCCAAGGCUAAAUACUCCCUAGUGAUCGAUAGUGAACCAGUACCGUGAGGGAAAGGUGAAAAGCACCCCGGAAGGGGAGUGAAAGAGAUCCUGAAACCGUGUGCCUACAAAUAGUCAGAGCCCGUUAACGGGUGAUGGCGUGCCUUUUGUAGAAUGAACCGGCGAGUUACGAUCCCGUGC
rnacentral:rRNA from 1 species